GCUUUACUCAACUUUGCGAAUCCCAACAUCGCAAGAUGUGCUAGCGCGGCGGCGUAUUGUGCAAAGUUGUGUUAGCGCAACAGCAUUUUAUGUGAAGUUGUGUUAGCGUGAUGGCGUCACGGCGUGUUGUCUGACAAUUUUUUUUUGGAUUGUCUUGCCUAGAUGGCGGAGUGGUUAGUGCUAGUGGGUUCCAAAGGUUGUGAAUUCAAGCCCGGGCGGGGCGGAUCGAAUUGGAACUCAAACAAGUUAUCCUGUGGAAUUGACGUCCCAUGAGAGAGUUCUCUUCUUAGUGCUGGGGUUGUUUAUGAAUCGCUACAUCUGAUCUAUCAGACUAAACAUAGCUUUGUGUAAUAGCAAAGAGACACAAAAUCGAUGCAAAUCGGAAGGACGCCCUACUCAUGUCCAGAAAUACAUGCAUCAAUCCAUUUCAAAGUUGUAUUGAAUCGGAAAUGAAGAAGAUUGGUAAAUAUUGUUCCAUGUGGAAUUUAAUGGCGUUGUAAAUCAGAUUUCGAGUCAAUGACAUUUCAAGUGUUCAAUGCCCUAAAAUUGGAUAAAAUAGCAAAAUCGGUGUGUCAUCGCUGAUGAUUGCAUGCUUCCAAGUUACGGAGCAAAUUGUUUAUCGCUUACUUAUACCAUCCUUCUGUCACUGACAUCAAAGAUACUACUGUCACUGUCAAACGUUUCUAUCCUCAAAGUCAACUGUAUCACCGUGAAAACGUUCGUUGUGUCACUGCUACUAUGAUACUGCCGUGCAUCAAACUGUUCAAUGUCUCGAACGACGACGCUAUGCCAUUGAUUAGUCAGCGUAUUGUUGUCAUACAUAGAUGUACUAGUUAUUUACUGCUAAUACCUGUCACUGUCAACACCCAUGGUUUGUCACUGUCACUGCCAUCACCCAUGUUUUGUCACUGUCAACACCCGUGUUUUUGUCACUGCCAACAACCACGUAUAUGUCACUGCCAACUCCCAUGCUUUUGUCAUUGUCGACAUAUACUUCUGUCACUGACAAUAGUUUUGAAAAUGGUCCAUUGGAUGCACGGUCAGACAGAUGAGUUCACAGACCCCUGUCAACCGGUGAUCAGUUUCUAAAAUGUUGAGCUGUAUUCAAAGAUUAACGGAGCAUUGAUCCCGUAACAAAUUCUGUUUUACUUCUGGUAUCAAAUUUCAAUUAAUGCUUGCUGGUAAAUAAUGCAAAAUAAAUUUCAUUCAAUAUAUUUAAAUGCAAUACUUUAUUGGUUUAUAACAUACAACUGUUGUAUUAACAUAAAUUUGCUGCACCCAUUUUUGUACAUACAAAUGUAGAAUUUAAAAACCAAUUCAGAUUUAAUUUUAUCACGUAAGAAGAACACUUCACUAACAACAUUAUGUAAUAAAGGCAAGCAAUGAACAAUGCAAACAAUGGCCAGCUGAAACAAACAGACGAUGAUUGCCUCCAUCUAAAUCCGAUACAGAGUUUGUCACAUUAAUGGAAGCAUCAAGCAAAUCAUGUUCAGCCAUGUUAAAUCAUCGAAUGAUCUAUCACUACGGUAAUUGGAGAUUUUAUCUACAGAUACUAAACCAUUAUCAUUUUAAAACUCACAAAUACAGUAAAUUCAAGGUUUUUUAAUGUUUCUAUUACACUGGAAUAUUUAUAACUGAGAAAGCACUUUUAGCAACGCUAAUAUAAAUAAACAUAUAAGCUGGGUUUUUUCUCAAUAAGAUAAUUAUACAAAAUGUAGAGGAUUAAUAUCUUUGUAAUAGUGGUUAAUUGUCAUAGUAACAUACAUGAAAUACCAUUGAAAAGUAUUCUAUUUUUUAUGCACAACCAACUCAAUUUCAAGAGAUCAUUUUGUUGUCUUAAACAUGUCUCAAAGUAAGAUGACAUCUUGAAUUUUUCAUAUAUCAUCUAAAUUUUAUAAUUAAAUAGGUUACAGAGUGACUUUGUGUGUGGUGUUUCUGUUCAAAAUAAAACAAGUGUACACAAAUUAAACAUUAAAAAAAAACAGGACAAAACAACCAACACUGAAACUCGGAAUUCCUCGAAACGCAGAAAUAGAACAAAAAGUCGGUAAACACGUCACAGUUUUUUGAUAUUGUCAGAUAAUUCUUAAAAAUCAACUGAAAAAAAAAAUUUGAAACCCACAAACCUGUUUAUCAUGUCAACCUGUUUGUCUUAUUUGGAAUCCUAAUUAUAAUAAUGCCAAAACUAUUUUUUAUAAUGUCAUCUGGUGCCUAAGUGCAUAAUUACUAGUUUACUUAAAAUAGAAAUUAUUGAAGGGCAAUCAUAAUAACUACAAAAUUUUCGAAUUUCUUCAUUUAAAGAUAUUUUAAUUGAUCAAAAUCAAGUAGAUUUGACAGAUAAUGCACUAUUGCAUUGCAGUAACUAAACAAGAACAGCUUUCAAAACACAGCAGACCACAUUUCUGCUUAAAACAAAUGAGUCACAAAAUCCAUUUUUAGCUACAUAUACGCAUAGUAGUAGUCCUAUUACAAUCAUUGAGGAUGACAUAACUUUUGUAUGUACAAGUAGGCCACUGAGUAAAUACAAAUAAUAACAAAAUAAUAAGCCAAGGUGGGUGUAUAUUAAAUCCAAGCAGGAAAAUUACACUUUCUUUGUUUCUCUAUUGUAUUUUGCUGACCGUGUAUUGCAUCAUGCCCUUGGUCCAAUGACAAUUUAUUUAGAAACACAAAAAAGCAUUUCUAGACAUGUGUUUGGUGACUCAGAAUGCUCUGAAUGUGCAGAAGAAAAAGGAAUAUUAUUUGGAAUAUAUCUGCAUUUCUUUUUUAAACUUUGGGUCAUAUUUUGGACAGAAAUGCAACAGAAUCUUAUAGAGAAUCAAAAAAAAGAAA